rnacentral:misc_RNA from 1 species
GUGAAUCAUCAAAUCUUUGAACGCAAAUUGCACUCUCUGGUAUUCCGGAGAGUAUGCCUGCUUGAGGGUCAGUUUAAAUAAAAAUCGGUGUGGUUGCUGCCUUUCGUGGUGACGCACCGGAUUUGGGUCGUCUUGCCUUCGGUUAAGUGACCUAAAAUUUUGCAUGAUUUUUUUCGAACGAAUUAAAUUGAUUUUACGACGGUUUGCGAAAUGGAA